rnacentral:misc_RNA from 1 species
AAGUCGUAACAAGGUCUCCGUAGGUGAACCUGCGGAGGGAUCAUUAACACGUUUCCAACAAAACGUUUAUCAACCCAAUCACCGUGAACCAUAACACUCCCUUUACAGUUGUGAUCGAACGAACAAUCAUCAGGGUGGAGUUCAGUGCUUGAAAAAGUAUCUGGGCUAUGACUCGUUCUAGGGGCCCGUUCGAGGCUUCAAUCCGCUGUGAAGUGUAUGCGCGACCACCUGGCAGUCUACAACCCCUUCUUCGGGAGGGCGAGUAGCGUUCUGCCGAAUGUUUAACCCCUUCAAUUUUAACCCCUUUAACAACAUACUAAUAAACUGAACCAUAUUUUUCAUCAUAUGGCCCAUAUAGCAAUAUAUGUGGACAUGUGUGAAAAAGAUAUACGUAAUACUGAACAACUCUUAGCAAUGGAUAUCUUGGUUCUC